UACGAAGGGGGCUAGCGUUGCUCGGAAUCACUGGGCGUAAAGGGCGCGUAGGCGGCCGAUCAAGUCAGAGGUGAAAGCCCAGGGCUCAACCCUGGAAUUGCCUUUGAUACUGUUCGGCUCGAGACCGGAAGAGGUUAGUGGAACUGCGAGUGUAGAGGUGAAAUUCGUAGAUAUUCGCAAGAACACCAGUGGCGAAGGCGGCUAACUGGUCCGGUUCUGACGCUGAGGCGCGAAGGCGUGGGGAGCAAACAGG
rnacentral:rRNA from 1 species